CCUACGGGUGACAGCAGUGGGGGAUAUUGCAAUGGGGGAAACCCUGAUGCCGCACCGCCGCGUGAGUGAAGAAGGUCUUCGGAUUGUAAAGCUCUGUUCUUGGUUAAGAUAAUGACUGUAGCCAAGGAGAAAGCUCCGGCUAACUACGUGCCAGCAGCCGCGGUAAUACGUAGGGAGCGAGCGUUGUCCGGAUUUACUGGGUGUAAAGGGUGCGCAGGCGGAGCUGCAAGUCAGGCGUGAAAGCUAGGGGCUCAACCCCUAAACUGCGCUUGAAACUGUGGAGCUUGAGUGAAGUAGAGGCAGGCGGAAUUCGUGGUGUAGCGGUGAAAUGCGUAGAGAUCGCGAGGAACACCAGUGGCGAAGGCGGCCUGCUGGGCUUUAACUGACGCUCAGGCACGAAAGCAUGGGUAGCAAACAGGAUUAGAUACCCGAGUAGUC
rnacentral:rRNA from 1 species